rnacentral:rRNA from 1 species
GACGAACGCUGGCGGCGUGCUUAACACAUGCGAGUCGAACGGAAAGGCCCUGCUUUUGUGGGGUGCUCGAGUGGCGAACGGGUGAGUAACACGUGAGUAACCUGCCCUUGACUUUGGGAUAACUUCAGGAAACUGGGGCUAAUACCGGAUAGGAGCUCCUGCUGCAUGGUGGGGGUUGGAAAGUUUCGGCGGUUGGGGAUGGACUCGCGGCUUAUCAGCUUGUUGGUGGGGUAGUGGCUUACCAAGGCGUUGACGGGUAGCCGGCCUGAGAGGGUGACCGGCCACAUUGGGACUGAGAUACGGCCCAGACUCCUACGGGAGGCAGAAGUGGGGAAUAUUGAACAAUGGGCGGAAGCCUGAGGCAGCAACGCCGCGUGCGGGAUGACGGCCUUCGGGUUGUAAACCGCUUUCGCCUGUGACGAAGCGUGAGUGACGGUAAUGGGUAAAGAAGCACCGGCUAACUACGUG